UAUGUAUUCCUGCCAAAUGUGAAUCAAAACCACACAGGCAUGUGUGUCUGUGUGCCUCUUUUUUCUUCCAUGAGUGCUGCGAGGGGUCAAUGAAAAUUGGAAUUGAGACAAACUGACUUAGAUGUUGUCAAGACAAUACAAAUUUAGGAAGAACCUGGAGAAGGAUGGAUCCCACACCUUGCUAGAAUAUUCACAUCAGAUAAUUACAAUGAAGUAAGGUUAAAGCUACCAGAUGAUGUUGAACACACAGACCCUGGGACAGAGAAUUAUCCAAUAGAAGUCAAAAGAAGAAGAAUAUCACAAGAACUGCCUAGUGCACCAAACAUCUUUUACUCAUUCCCAAGGGUAUUUGUUCACCCUUGAAGUCUGUCUUGGCAAAAAUGAAGCCAAAGGAAAUACCAGAAAACCUGUCUAGUGCAUCGAAGAUCUUACACACAUUGGUUCCUGACUUCCAAGGUGAUUUCUUCACUAAGAAGAACCAAAGCAGAGGAAAGCAUAAGUUUCAGUCGCUAUUUGUGAUUUAUUUAUUCAUCCUGUAAAAUGUUCAGAUAUGCUUAUCUGUCAUUCUGCAAACCACUCCAAUCACAUUUAUUUGAGUGAAUUAACUUAAGAUAAUGUCGAUUUGUCAUUAACUCGAUUCUUUUGAAUUUGUUCACCAAAAAGAUUGAUUCACUGAUUCGUUAAGUGACUGUUUUUGUAAAAAGAGUCUUUAAAGGAAUGGUUACACAAAAAUGAAAAUUCUCUCAUCAUUUACUCACGCUCAUGCCAUCCCAGAUGUGUAUGACUUUCUGUAGGUCCAUACAAUGCAAGUGAAUGGUGAUGAGA